rnacentral:rRNA from 1 species
GUUAGGAAUAUUGGACAAUGGGGGGAACCCUGAUCCAGCCAUGCCGCGUGUGUGAAGAAGGCCUUUUGGUUGUAAAGCACUUUAAGUGGGGAGGAGGCUUACCUGGUUAAUACCUGGGCUAAGUGGACGUUACCCACAGAAUAAGCACCGGCUAACUCUGUGCCAGCAGCCGCGGUAAUACAGAGGGUGCGAGCGUUAAUCGGAUUUACUGGGCGUAAAGCGCGCGUAGGUGGUUAAUUAAGUCAAAUGUGAAAUCCCCGAGCUUAACUUGGGAAUUGCAUUCGAUACUGGUUAGCUAGAGUAUGGGAGAGGAUGGUAGAAUUCCAGGUGUAGCGGUGAAAUGCGUAGAGAUCUGGAGGAAUACCGAUGGCGAAGGCAGCCAUCUGGCCUAAUACUGACACUGAGGUGCGAAAGCAUGGGGAGCAAACAGGAUUAGAUACCCGUGUAGUCC